UAGGGAAUCUUCCGCAAUGGACGCAAGUCUGACGGAGCAACGCCGCGUGAGUGAAGAAGGACUUCGGUUCGUAAAACUCUGUUGUUAGAGAAGAACAGCGCAUAGAGUAACUGUUAUGCGUGUGACGGUAUCUAACCAGAAAGCCACGGCUAACUACGUGCCAGCAGCCGCGGUAAUACGUAGGUGGCAAGCGUUGUCCGGAUUUAUUGGGCGUAAAGCGAGCGCAGGCGGUCAAUUAAGUCUGAUGUGAAAGCCCCCGGCUCAACCGGGGAGGGUCAUUGGAAACUGGUUGACUUGAGUGCAGAAGAGGAGAGUGGAGUUCCAUGUGUAGCGGUGAAAUGCGUAGAUAUAUGGAGAAACACCAGUGGCGAAGGCGACUCUCUGGUCUGUAACUAACGCUGAGGCUCGAAAGCGUGGGUAGCAAACAGG
rnacentral:rRNA from 1 species